CCAGCGUGGUUAGUGGCGACGGGUGAGUAACACGUGGGCAAUCUGCCCUUCACUCUGGGACAAGCCCUGGAAACGGGGUCUAAUACCGGAUAACACUCCUGCCUGCAUGGGCGGGGGUUAAAAGCUCCGGCGGUGAAGGAUGAGCCCGCGGCCUAUCAGCUUGUUGGUGGGGUAAUGGCCUACCAAGGCGACGACGGGUAGCCGGCCUGAGAGGGCGACCGGCCACACUGGGACUGAGACACGGCCCAGACUCCUACGGGAGGCAGCAGUGGGGAAUAUUGCACAAUGGGCGAAAGCCUGAUGCAGCGACGCCGCGUGAGGGAUGACGGCCUUCGGGUUGUAAACCUCUUUCAGCAGGGAAGAAGCGAAAGUGACGGUACCUGCAGAAGAAGCACCGGCUAACUACGUGCCAGCAGCCGCGGUAAUACGUAGGGUGCGAGCGUUGUCCGGAAUUAUUGGGCGUAAAGAGCUCGUAGGCGGCUUGUCACGUCGGAUGUGAAAGCCCGGGGCUUAACCCCGGGUCUGCAUUCGAUACGGGCAGGCUAGAGUGUGGUAGGGGAGAUCGGAAUUCCUGGUGUAGCGGUGAAAUGCGCAGAUAUCAGGAGGAACACCGGUGGCGAAGGCGGAUCUCUGGGCCAUUACUGACGCUGAGGAGCGAAAGCGUGGGGAGCGAACAGGAUUAGAUACCCUGGUAGUCCACGCCGUAAACGUUGGGAACUAGGUGUUGGCGACAUUCCACGUCGUCGGUGCCGCAGCUAACGCAUUAAGUUCCCCGUCUGGGGGAGUACGGCCGCAAGGCUAAAACUCAAAGGGAAUUUGACGGGGGCUCGCCACAAGCAGCGGGA
rnacentral:rRNA from 1 species